GAUUGAACGCUGGCGGUAUGCUUAACACAUGCAAGUCGAACGGAAACGAUACUAGCUUGCUAGUAGGCGUCGAGUGGCGGACGGGUGAGUAACGCGUAGGAAUCUACCUGAUAGUGGGGGAUAGCCCGAAGAAAUUCGGAUUAAUACCGCAUAAUCUAUUCGUAGUAAAGUGGGGGACUUUCGAGCCUCACGCUAUCAGAUGAGCCUGCGUAAGAUUAGCUAGUUGGUAGGGUAAAAGCCUACCAAGGCUACGAUCUUUAGCUGGUCUGAGAGGAUGAUCAGCCACAUCGGGACUGAGACACGGCCCGAACUCCUACGGGAGGCAGCAGUGGGGAAUAUUGGACAAUGGGGGCAACCCUGAUCCAGCAAUACCGCGUGUGUGAAGAAGGCCUGAGGGUUGUAAAGCACUUUCAAUUGUGAAGAAAAGCUAGUGGUUAAUAGCCAUUAGCCUUGACGUUAACUUUAGAAGAAGCACCGGCUAACUCCGUGCCAGCAGCCGCGGUAAUACGGAGGGUGCAAGCGUUAAUCGGAAUUACUGGGCGUAAAGCGUGCGUAGGCGGUUUAUUAAGUCAGAUGUGAAAGCCCCGGGCUUAACCUGGGAACUGCAUUUGAAACUGGUCAACUAGAGUAUGGUAGAGGAAAGUGGAAUUUCUGGUGUAGCGGUGAAAUGCGUAGAUAUCAGAAGGAACAUCAAUGGCGAAGGCAACUUUCUGGACCAAUACUGACGCUGAGGUACGAAAGCGUGGGUAGCAAACAGGAUUAGAUACCCUGGUAGUCCACGCCGUAAACGAUGAUAACUAGCCGUUGGGGGGGAUUUACCCCUUAGUGGCGAAGCUAACGCGUUAAGUUAUCCGCCUGGGGAGUACGGCCGCAAGGUUAAAACUCAAAGGAAUUGACGGGGACCCGCACAAGCGGUGGAGCAUGUGGUUUAAUUCGAUGCAACGCGAAGAACCUUACCUGGUCUUGACAUCCUGAGAACUUUCUAGAAAUAGAUUGGUGCCUUCGGGAACUCAGUGACAGGUGCUGCAUGGCUGUCGUCAGCUCGUGUCGUGAGAUGUUGGGUUAAGUCCCGUAACGAGCGCAACCCCUAUCCUUAUUUGCCAGCACAUCAUGGUGGGAACUAUAAGGAGACUGCCGGUGAUAAACCGGAGGAAGGCGGGGACGACGUCAAGUCAUCAUGGCCCUUACGACCAGGGCUACACACGUGCUACAAUGGGAAGGACAAAGAGCCGCGAAGCCGCGAGGUGUAGCUAAUCUCAGAAACCUUUUCGUAGUCCGGAUUGGAGUCUGCAACUCGACUCCAUGAAGUCGGAAUCGCUAGUAAUCGUAGAUCAGAAUGCUACGGUGAAUACGUUCCCGGGUCUUGUACACACC
rnacentral:rRNA from 1 species